rfam:Schistosoma mattheei strain Denwood, Zambia genome assembly, scaffold: SMTD_scaffold0007221
AUUAAACUGACGAGUCCAAAAUCGGACGAAACGCGCAUCUUAGAU